rnacentral:rRNA from 1 species
GACGAAGGAUGCAAGCGUUAUCCGGAUUCAUUGGGUUUAAAGGGAGCGUAGGUGGCCUUAUAAGUCAGUGGUGAAAUCUCUCGGCUUAACCGAGAAAUUGCCAUUGAUACUGUAGGGCUUGAGUAUAGUUCCGUUGCGGAAUAUGACAUGUAGUGGUGAAAUACAUAGAGAUGUCAUAGAACACCGAUUGCGAAGGCAGCUGACGAAACUAUAACUGACACUAGGCUCGAAAGUGCGGGGAUCAAACAGG